rnacentral:rRNA from 1 species
UACGUAGGGGGCAAGCGUUGUCCGGAAUCAUUGGGCGUAAAGAGCGCGUAGGCGGUCCGGUAAGUCCGCUCUGAAAGUCCAGGGCUCAACCCCGGGAGGCGGGCGGAUACUGCCGGGCUAGAGUCCGGAAGAGGCGAGUGGAAUUCCUGGUGUAGCGGUGAAAUGCGCAGAUAUCGGGAGGAACACCGGUGGCGAAGGCGGCUCACUGGACCGGUACUGACGCGUGAAGUGCGAAAAGCGUGGGGAGCAAACGGGG